ACGGCUCAGUAACACGUGGAUAACCUGCCCUUGGGACCGGCAUAACCCCGGGAAACUGGGGAUAAUUCCGGAUAACGCAUAUGUGCUGGAAUGCUUUAUGCGUAAAAUGGAUUCGUCUACCCAAGGAUGGGUCUGCGGCCUAUCAGGUAGUAGUGGGUGUAAUGUACCUACUAGCCGACAACGGGUACGGGUUGUGAGAGCAAGAGCCCGGAGAUGGAUUCUGAGACAUGAAUCCAGGCCCUACGGGGCGCAGCAGGCGCGAAAACUUUACAAUGCGGGAAACCGUGAUAAGGGGACACCGAGUGUCAGCAUCAUAUGCUGGCUGUCCGGGUGUGUAAAAUACACCCGUUAGCAAGGGCCGGGCAAGACCGGUGCCAGCCGCCGCGGUAACACCGGCGGCCCGAGUGGUGAUCGUGAUUAUUGGGUCUAAAGGGUCCGUAGCCGGUUUGGUCAGUCCUCCGGGAAAUCUGAUAGCUCAACUAUUAGGCUAUCGGGGGAUACUACCAGACUUGGAACCGGGAGAGGUAAGAGGUACUACAGGGGUAGGAGUGAAAUCUUGUAAUCCCUGUGGGACCACCUGUGGCGAAGGCGUCUUACCAGAACGGGUUCGACGGUGAGGGACGAAAGCUGGGGGCACGAACCGGAUUAGAUACCCGGGUAGUCCCAGCCGUAAACGAUGCUCGCUAGGUGUCAGGCAUGGCGCGACCGUGUCUGGUGCCGCAGGGAAGCCGUGAAGCGAGCCACCUGGGAAGUACGGCCGCAAGGCUGAAACUUAAAGGAAUUGGCGGGGGAGCAC
rnacentral:rRNA from 1 species